AGUAUUGCACUUGCUCUGGGAAAUGCACAGAAAUUGCCAAAAGGUAAAAAGCCAAGCCUGAAAGUGCACAUCAAUACCACCAGCGACUCCGUCCUCUUGAAGUUCCUGCGUCCAAAUCCGAACGUAAAGCUGGAAGGAUUCCUCCUGGGAUAUGGCAGCAACGUGUCUCCAAACCAGUAUUUCCCUCUUCCCACAGAAGGAAAAUUCACGGAGGCUGUGGUUGAUGCAGAGCCGAAGUAUCUGAUAGUCGUGCGACCUGCUCCUCCUCCCAGCCAGAAGAAGUCGUGCUCAGGUAAAUCUCGCACUCGCAAACCCCUCCAGCUGGUGGUGGGCACGUUGACACCGAGCUCCGUCUUCCUGUCCUGGGGGUUCCUCAUCAACCCCCACCAUGACUGGACAUUGCCAAGUCACUGUUCCAGUGACAG
rnacentral:lncRNA from 1 species